rnacentral:rRNA from 1 species
CUGACCGAUAGUGAACCAGUACCGUGAGGGAAAGGCGAAAAGAACCCCGGCGAGGGGAGUGAAAAAGAACCUGAAACCGUGUACGUACAAGCAGUGGGAGCCCCACCACUAAGCCAGUGGUGAACUCCACAUACGCAUCCUUUGCUGAGGAUACGGUUAACGGAGCGAAAGCGACGUUCAACCUCAAAAGAAGCAGAGGGGGCUUAGUGGUGGGGUGACUGCGUACCUUUUGUAUAAUGGGUCAGCGACUUAUAUUCUGUAGCAAGGUUAACCGAAUAGGGGAGCCGGAGGGAAACCGAGUCUUAACCGGGCGUUAAGUUGCAGGGUAUAGACCCGAAACCCGGUGAUCUAGCCAUGGGCAGGUUGAAGGUUGGGUAACACUAACUGGAGGACCGAACCGACUAAUGUUGAAAAAUUAGCGGAUGACCUGUGGCUGGGGGUGAAAGGCCAAUCAAACCGGGAGAUAGCUGGUUCUCCCCGAAAGCUAUUUAGGUAGCGCCUCGUGAAUUCAUCUCCGGGGGUAGAGCACUGUUUCGGCUAGGGGGCCAUCCCGGCUUACCAACCCGAUGCAAACUGCGAAUACCGGAGAAUGUUAUCACGGGAGACACACGGCGGGUGCUAACGUCCGUCGUGAAGAGGGAAACAACCCAGACCGCCAGCUAAGGUCCCAAAGUCAUGGUUAAGUGGGAAACGAUGUGGGAAGGCCCAGACAGCCAGGAUGUUGGCUUAGAAGCAGCCAUCAUUUAAAGAAAGCGUAAUAGCUCACUGGUCGAGUCGGCCUGCGCGGAAGAUGUAACGGGGCUAAACCAUG